AAAUCGUGAUUGGGAGACCGCUGCAAAUACUACUUGAACCUCUCCCAAGCCUCAUAUAAUUUCUCCCCCGAAAGCUGCUUGAACUCAUAAAUUUAUCAUAAAUUU